rnacentral:tRNA from 1 species
GGAAAUGUAACUCAAUGGUGGAGCAUUUGCCUAGCAUUUGCAAGGCCCUGGGUUCGAUCCCCAGCAUCCU